AAACUUAGGCUAGCACAGACCAAAGGCCUUCAAAGCCUUAAGCGGAGGUUAAACUCCUUCAGUNCUGUA
rnacentral:tRNA from 1 species